AUCUUUUCCCAUAGUGCACUUACCACUACUUUGCAUACUGUUGUAGAAGCAAUACUACUGUGUUAAACAUUUAUGAUCUGUUGCUUUUGAUCAAGUUUUUUACAGACAGAAUUACACAAUUGGUGCAGAGCAAAUACUUGCACAUGCUCAGAUGGAAAAGGUUUUGUCAGCACAGCAGUGUUGUUGAACAGUUCUAUUCGCUCUACCAGAAACAAGUGGCUCACAUCAUGGAGGAGUAUGAUGAUGCUGUUCAAAGAGCUGUGAGACUGUCAAGUGCACGGGAGAACUUCCUGACAGGAAAGACAAAUCCUGGCAAUUUAAUCACCCAGGAAGACCUGGCAAUUUACACACAAUGGCUCAUAUGUCACCUCCACUCACUUAAGACUAUUCACAACUACCUCAAGGUACUCCAAUACUUGCCUGUUUCUCACAGGAUGGAAGUGGGCAUUGACAGAGCUCCACCCUGGAAUGAUGGGGAAACAUUCAGAACCCUCCCCAAAAUGGAAUUCUUGUCCCCCAACAUUCACUUUCCUGUUUGCUCUGGGACAUCCACCACCAAUGGAACCUUGCUGAGAGAUGCAUUCUCUUCACUUCCCCAGCACAAUGCAGAAACUGAAGAACUGAAGCCUCAGCUGAGACUUUUGCUGUCUCAGUUAGGUAUCAGCUAUGAUGUGGAAGACCUCAGGCAUUCUGCUAAUGAGAUGGAACUCUUUUCCAUGGUCACACGUAAGUUUAGAAGCAUUUUCAGUGAGCAGCAGACAAUGAGGACAUUCCCUGUUUAUGAUGUUGGAAUGCCUGGAUUGGAAGCUUGGGGUAUAGCAGGCCCCCACAUGUCUUUGAAAAAGAGAGCCAAUUGGAUUCCCUAUAUAAAGAUUAAAGCUAAACAAGACCCCUGGCAACAAAAGCUCCUAAUGAAACUGAGACAAUCAAAAAAGGUGGAUGGACUCUUGCUGCUUCAGGCAAAGUUUUUAGAGGUUUCCAACAUGGAGUGGGUGAUGCAGGCUCUCCAAGAGCAAGCAACAGCGAUACCGCAGCCAAAGCCAAUGACGUCAGUUUCAAUGACUUCUUUCAAUUCACAACAAUAUGAAGAAAUCUGGGAAAAGAUUUAUUGCAGCCCAGAAUUCUACCAGGAAAAACAAACAAAUGGAGAUUAUGAUAGCCCUGCCAAGGCAACUGAUAAAAGAGUCAUGGAAGAUGGCAGCCUUAAUGAAGGGUACAGUUUUUCAAGAAAGAAAAAAGAUGCCAGUUACACAACCACCUUGCAACUGCUUGGGUUAGAUGAGGACACAGAAACUAACAGCCUGGACCUUGGCCCAAGGAAAGGAGCUUAUUUGUCUCUCCUUUAUUUACGUCACUUGAGAAUCAGACAACUGCAGGUAAACAAAAACUAUGUGUAUGAAAUAUAUUAUUUAAGGCUGUUAAGACAGCAUACAGUGUUGUUAAUUCUUCUGAAUGCUUUUUCUUAUUGUUAA
rnacentral:lncRNA from 1 species